rnacentral:rRNA from 1 species
CGCUGGCGGCGUGCCUAAUACAUGCAAGUCGAACGCUUUGUCUUUAAUUGAUCUGACGAGCUUGCUCUGAUGUGAUUUUUCUGACAAAGAGUGGCGAACAGGUGAGUAACACGUGGGUAACCUACCUCUUAGCAGGGGAUAACAUUUGGAAACAAGUGCUAAUACCGUAUAAUAUUAACAACCGCAUGGUUGUUAAUUGAAAGAUGGUUCUGCUAUCACUAAGAGAUGGACCCGCGGUGCAUUAGCUAGUUGGUAAGGUAAUGGCUUACCAAGGCGAUGAUGCGUAGCCGAGUUGAGAGACUGAUCGGCCACAAUGGGACUGAGACACGGCCCAUACUCCUACGGGAGGCAGCAGUAGGGAAUCUUCCACAAUGGGCGCAAGCCUGAUGGAGCAACGCCGCGUGUGUGAUGAAGGGUUUCGGCUCGUAAAACACUGUUAUAAGAGAAGAACGACAUUGAGAGUAACUGUUCAGUGUGUGACGGUAUCUUAUCAGAAAGGAACGGCUAAAUACGUGCCAGCAGCCGCGGUAAUACGUAUGUUCCAAGCGUUAUCCGGAUUUAUUGGGCGUAAAGCGAGCGCAGACGGUUAUUUAAGUCUGAAGUGAAAGCCCUCAGCUCAACUGAGGAAGGGCUUUGGAAACUGGAUAACUUGAGUGCAGUAGAGGAAAGUGGAUCUCCAUGUGUAGCGGUGAAAUGCGUAGAUAUAUGGAAGAACACCGGUGGCGAAAGCGGCUUUCUGGACUGUAACUGACGUUGAGGCUCGAAAGUGUGGGGUAGCAAACAGGAUUAGAUACCCUGGUAGUCC